rnacentral:rRNA from 1 species
UACGUAGGGUGCGAGCGUUGUCCGGAAUUAUUGGGCGUAAAGAGCUUGUAGGCGGUUUGUCGCGUCUGCUGUGAAAAUCCGGGGCUCAACCCCGGACUUGCAGUGGGUACGGGCAGACUAGAGUGUGGUAGGGGGAGACUGGAAUUCCUGGUGUAGCGGUGAAAUGCGCAGAUAUCAGGAGGAACACCGAUGGCGAAGGCAGGUCUCUGGGCCGAUACUGACGCU